ensembl:lncRNA
AUUGUAUGUGACUAAAUAUUAUUUAUCCGAUCUGUGUAUCAAUUUACCAACUCAUACUAUGUUUAUAGCAUCUCAAACAGCUGUUCAAAUUUGAGUUGGUAUGUGUGAAGCACCUGAAUAUCUCAAAAAGCACUGCAAAUAGGUACUAUUCGUCCAAGUAGCAUCUCUUGCAGAUAAGCUGUUUCUAAAAGGCCAUUCUGAAAUAGUUACAUUCUACGAAGUUCUAUCGAAUUUAUAUUUAUGUAAAGCAAGCACAAUUUGUGUGAUAGUUCUUGACUGCUCUUCAGAAAGCUAGAUAUUUAAUUUCAAGCAUAGGUUGCUCUGAAAGUAAUGCCUCCUAUUUAUUUCCAUGGAAACUACAACAGAUGCAAAGAGUACAAUAACACGAGUUGAUAAAGCAAAUUCUCAGUUACAAAACGCCAUCUUUCUACACAGUCACCACCAUUAGCUGUGUAUUUUUGCCAGCAAUGAGCAAGAAGGUUCAGCCUCUACUGCCAUACCACCACCAUCUGCCUCUGACAUUGUGGGCCAACAUCAUAAAAUAGGAUGCAUUACUUUUGGAGCAUCCUUUGCACUUCUGUUUAUUAAAUAUGAAUUAUAUAAACACUGAGUGAUCAAUACAUCAUAGCUUUACUGAGACGUUGAUAUGUGAUCUAAGAGUGGAGAAUAAAACCAUUUUCCUAAUAAUGCCAGCAAAUACAGUAGGAAGGACAGCCCCAUUUGUAAGGACUACUUUUGUUAAUAUAAACUUUACCUCCGUUUAAAGAGUUUGCAUGUUGUCAGUUUAGCUGGAACAGCAAAAUCAUCUUACACCUGGUGCUACAGCCACUUCUGAAAUGGUGAAUAAGAAUAUCCCAUUAAGAUCAGUCUGUUAUCCUACACAUAGCAAGGAGCCCAAAGGGUCUUGGAGCACACUGUACAAACACAGAUAACCCCAUGCAAUUUUACACUGCAGAAAAUCUCCUCAAAAGUACAGAAGUACACAGAAGAUUGAGCAGGCUGUUGUGUACAGUUUGCUACGUCACCAUUCAGUGUUUCUACUGCUGCAAAAAAUGCAAAGUGAUCUCUAAUGACCAGGUUUCUUCUCUAACAGAUUGCUUCUUUAUAUCCUUUAGGAGACGGAAUGGUAGGGGGAUGUAACGGAAUGAACUGCAAACGUAGGUGGUUUGUUGAGCUUUUUUGUUAGUGUUUGUGUAGGGUUCUGAUCCCGGUCUAACUUAAAGAAAAAAAAGAGCAAGAACAUGACAAAGCAGAGCCCCAAAAGGCAUGAAUGUGGCUCUCUGUGGAAAAGCGUGAAAACAAUUGUACCCAUUACAUGCUGGGUUUGGAACUCCGUGCAGCCUAAGCCUAUUGAAAUAUAUAUUUGUAAGCGGGAGUGGUGGGGAGGGAGGAUGCAUCGGAAUGAGGCCUGGAGCUGAAAUGCUGUCGUAAAGGCAGUAGGAGGAGAGAAGGCUAUAAACUGGCUGCCAUCCUCACAUUGAAAAAGGUCCGGAAACAUCUUAAUGCCAAAUGUCACACCUUUCGUUCCUGUUUUUCCUUAGUUUUCCAUUUAAGCAAUUCAAACUUUCCCUAUUUGUGUUACCAGUCUAUGGAAGCUGGGUUAUCUAAAGGCUUUUUGAUUUUGCUCUAUCCUAUCCUGACAAACUCCUGCUCAUUCAACCUUUAUAUGUUAAACUUUUAAUAACCAAUACGACUGCAUCAGUACUAACAAAAAAAAAAAAAAAAAGAAGAAGAAGAAAAAAAAAAGAAUCCCACACAACAGAUUUCUCAGCAUCACCACGGCCUGGGAGAACUUGCUGCAGUGACAGGAGGCAAUUUAUAAGGAAUUAACUCUGACAGUCACUUUAUACAGCUGAUUUUCAAAGAUCUGGGCACUAAAGAAGUGUUAAUGAGGGUACUGAGGCUUCAUAAUUAAUUAUAUUAGCAUCUCUUUGUUGCUCUCUAGAACAGUAGUGCCUGGUUGACAUUUCAAUGGGAAUCUGGUAGUAUUCUUUGUUAUUAUUAUCCAGGAGUACAGUUAUACCUUAGCUCCCAGAGGGCAACGUUGCAUGUAAAUGCCUCUGUGAAUUGCAAGAGUCUUUGGAUCUCAGUAAAAGCCCUUGAAGGAGACCCUGCUGGAUACUGAAUGGAUGUCAGUAAAAUUUCUCUAGUCUGGAGUCUCUCUUCAGAUAUGGACUCUCCUCCCCUUUCAUUUCUCCCUUCCCCCUUCCUUUCCACUGUGCCAGUCCUUCUCACAAGGCUUAAGAACAGCACUUUCUGAAUCUUUAGUUCCAAACCUUUAAAGGAAGGAAUACUGACCUGAACGAAACAGUGAACAGAGAAUAGAACAGUCCUCAGAAAAUAGGGAAUAUUUUUCACACGCUUGAGUUUUCAUUGCAAUAAAACCAGCACUGCCAGAAGGAAUCCCAGAAGUGGUGAGUCAGAUAAUAGACGUACGGCUGUGGUGGGAGGGAAACGGUCUCUACUUUGUUUUACACCCUCCUCAGCUUUCUUUGUAAAGGCAGAUGAAAUUAUUUUCCAGUCGUGCCACUGCAAAAGCAAACACAGAGUUUAAAGGUUAUUUCCUCUGUGUGUUUUUGAGAGUCAUUACUUUUGAAUCCAAAAGGGGAAGGAUGACUUUUUGGCAAUGAUGUCGAAUUCUACUCUGAAAGCUUCUUCUGCAUCACCCGAAGUUCUCUUAUUUUGUACGUCGAUAUCCCACUUGCUUGUGUUAAUUUAAACAAAACUAACAACAGUGUGGUUUUUUCACACCAGCUGAACCGCAGCCUUGCCACAGUAAGGGCACACUGACAAACACAUCUCCUGUGUCAGUGAGAUCGAUGCAACCUGUUCUCACCCUUUCCCCAUUCAUACCUGCCGUUACGCGACCUUGUCUCUUGUGGCAUUCUUUGUGCAUCUGCAGCAGGGAACAGAUCAGAGUAUUAGUCUCAGUUAAAAAUAAGUGUUUUUCUGAGGACUAUUUUUUAAUUGAAAUCAGGUUCCCGAUUCAGUUUAACACGAGGCUGCACAAAAAAACCAGCACUGGCACAAUCCAAGGCCAGCACGAUGGGGAAGAGAGGAGGAAUGUGGGGAGGGGGGGGGAAUGUAUAAGCAGGACCUUCUAGCAGAAAAAUGAGUCAAACAACGUCCUCAAAGACUUCAGAUCCUUCCAAGCCAGAGCCACCUCUUUGCUUUGUGUUCAGACAGCACCUUGCGCAAAGGGAUGGCAGUUACAGGACUCUCAGGACUCUCAGAGCCAUUGUAAUACCCACAAAUAAUAAGCGUUCCUACAGACUGACACAAUUAACCAAAUUCCACUUGCAGAUCUUCAUUGUUGGCAACUCGAGCAGCAUUUUAUGUAGCUGAAGCUGAAGCCUAGCUCUAUUCCUACAUUCUGUCUCUGGCUCUAAUGAGGGAUAACUGGAUAACUCUGGCAUGUAGUUAAUCAAUACAAGAAUUACUUUUCUCACAGAGUUUUUAUAUUUAGCUAGAUUCUUUUACGAGCUUUGACAUUCUCAGAUGAAAAGAAUAAUGUGUACAAUGCAUUGUUAUAGCAAAAACUGUGUAUGACAUCUCUACGCAUUCUCCUCCUUUUUGUUUCACCUCUUCUGUCACUGCACUCCCACAGAAAGCUCAAGACGUGCUGCGGAUGUCUGAGUAACGCCAACUGGAGGCAGCAGGAUUGUAAAUAUCAUACUCACUCUUCACUGAGCAAUAUUCAGUGUAUUUGUUUUAAUCUGAUAUUUCCUGCAUAGAAACAGAGGUUACUUCCCCUGAGAGUUCACGUAUCGAUAGCGCUCUCCGUAACAAGGGAAGUCCUUCGUGAUUCCCACAAAAGCUGCUGCCCCUGGGUAGCAAGACAAUGGAUGGAAUACACUGCGUAAAACUGUGGUCUUUAUGGCUCUUCCUGAGGGCCCAAAUCUGGAAGAACUCAACUUGGUUUAGGACUCAGCAAGAAUUUUCCUUCAUAGGAGUAAGGGGGUGAUAAAUACGAGUUUAGAGAAUUGGCCAUAAAGUACUGGAAAGCAAAUGUUUAUGGAUUCUGUUUGUGGAAAAGGGGUGUGCUUCUUAACUUCCCCGCGAGUGGAAAAGUGAGAGAUGAUUAUCUGAAGCUCUCUGAAGGAAAACCUACAGAAGAAGAAAGUAUAGUUUUGUGACUCCUCAACAUUGCUGCAUCCCUACUGCUUAGAUAUCCUAAACCUUUGAUUCAGCUUUCACACACAUUUAAUGGUUGGCAACCCUGCCCACAGCAGGGGGUUGGAACUAGACGAUCUUUGAGGUUCCCUUCCAACCCAAGCCAUUCUAUGAUUUGAGUACUUUUGAUCCAGAUCUACAGUGUCUAUUUAUAAGGACUCUAUCCAGUACUGGACCUUCUGCCCUAGCUACAAGGAAAUUAGUCUUUCUCUGGACAGAGCAGAAAGCAAAGGCAAAUAGCUACUUCCUCUGUUUAUUAUUUUGGGUCCUUCUACACUAAAACAUAGCUGGCACAGCUAUUCCAGAGUACCUCCCAGUAUUAAUAUUGCAGUAUUUCAGUCUGAAAGUGUCUGUUAGUGAUUGAUUGUUCUACCUAGGAAUACCUUCUGUGAGUGGUCAGUUUGUCCAACAACUUCUGUUCAGAGCUUUCAUUCCACAAGAUUGUAUGUAGUAGAAGAGCCUCAAAUGCAAACAUUAAACCAUCUACAACAGGUAUUGAUUAACGAUCAGAUUGUUUCAAGUAAAUCUAAUGUUUUUCAGACAUUUUCUGUGAAACCAUUCUAGCCGUACUGAGCUUGGCUGAAGGCUCCCACAGCCUCAGCACAGAAUGGAUUGGCCCUAAUUCUGUCCUGCAGAACUAGUGAUUGAGUAUCCCUAACGAAAGGGCUGGAAGAUCUGCAGAUCCCAUCUUGAGCUGUGAACUCCUCAGGCUGGAGGAGAUGGAUAUCCACAUCUGGAAGUGGCAGUAGCACAUCUGGACAGGGUCAUGGAGACUCGGCAAUUCCUGGGGGCUGUCAAACUGAUUACACGCAGCAAACCAGCCGGUGUGCCUCUGCCUGCUGCUUAGAUAAUAUAUCUAUCUAAAGAAAGAAACAUUGGGAGAUCUGAACUUCUGCAUCAAAGAGGAGACUGUCUUUAUGAAUAGGCCCUGUUUAUUCCAUUCUUGAGAACAACAAGCAACUACCACUAUACUCUAUGUAAACUGUAAGGCCAUUAAUCACUAUCAGGAGCUGCCAACACCCCCCAGACGUUUACAUAUACACAGAGGAAAACGAACACGAGUUUUCUUCACUUAUCUGAGCGUCACUGCCACCCCGAAGGAUGUGAAGAUCUAACUCCUUUAUUUGACAGCACGGGAGGACUCGGGCACUCAGCUGGAAAGGUACCACAGACAGUCCAGUUUUGUACCUUCAACCAUACAACUUGAAGUUCAGAGAAGAGCAGGAAUACAAACUGUAAUACCAAUGGAAAAAAGCUACUUGUGAUGCAGGCAGCAGAGCUACUUGGAUGGUGUCGUUCAGGAAAAAGAGUGAGCUGUCUAUUAUAUCUGAUAUAAUAUAUACAUAUACAGGAGAAGGGGAGAGGAGGAGGACACCAUAUUCUCCAAACGCAUUAACAUAUCUCUUAUUUCACAGGAUUGUAACUGUACAUUUUAACCCCUCAAUAGUUACUCAAGGACUGAAACUGCCUUAGGUGUUAAUUACAGAUAAUGAAAAACAUUAGGUAGAAGUGAAGGAAAGUGACUGACUAAGUAUUGAUUACAAAAACAAGUUUUUCUAAGUGGGAUGUUUGUUUUUAGUGUUAUCAUGAAAUCAAGCAUAGUCUUAUGUCUGAGCAUCACAUGUAAUUUCUGGAAAACCUUGUGUAACAGCAGAUAACUCAUGUAACAAGGCUCUAUAUCACUAGAUGCCAUUUUCCUUCCUUUUUAAUGAAACUACAUGGGCUUUAGGAUCCUUACAAAGAGGAACAGUUUCAGACUGAGUUGAGAAUUGUGCUGCUUGCUUUUUCACAAAUACUUGAGUCAUGUUCUUCCUGAGCAUAAAUGUUGACAGUGCAGCAAGAACAAACAGUAAAUCAAUUCAGUGGCAACAGCCACUAGGUGCUCUGCUUUCAUCCUUCCUUCUCAACAACUACUCUUACUCAGUGGCUUCGUUUUAUUUCAUUACAUCUCUAUAAAGCAAUGAAGGGAGUGCAGAGAAAGCAUCAUUCCAUGAGUUGCUGUCAAACUGAGCCAAGCCCCAGCAGUAUGUAAGCACCUGUUGUUGGGAGACCUUUUAUGAAUUAUACCCAAAAGUCAGACUGCAGCUGAACUGAAAGUGAGGUUCUCCUUUGAAAAGGCUGUAAAAGCAACUGGUCAGUUUGGGUGAAAGGGUAUACAUCAGUGGAACAGACAAAUCAUACUUCAGGAAUACAUACUGCUUUAUGUGUGGAAGAAGUAGUAGGGAGUAAGCAUAUGUCCCUUUGAUCAUCACAGAACUGGCUUUCAGUUAUACAGCCUACAUUUUCAAAUUGUGGACCUUGAAAGACCAAUCUAUAGAACAGAAUAGUAUAUUACCAGUGAUAAAAAGGGAAAAAAAGCAAACAUACACAGUUGCAUAGUGAAGAGAUUAAAGGAAAACAGAAGAAAGAAAAUCAUGCUGCGUACUUGAGCUUACCUUACCUUGUCUGAGUGUGAAAACAUCCAUAUUAAUCAAUCUCGGGAGAUGCAGACAGAGCACAAGAGAAGCUUUGUUGCUGUGUUGGGUAUCAGGAAGGCCUUGAGACCACCCUCGAGGGGAGAAGUUGAUCAUCUUGCAUUAAGUUGUGAUGCUUUGUUGCUUUGUCUAGCACAGGUGGCAGCUCCUCUCCUGUUUGCAUGGGGAAGCACAGUGCAAACUGUGGUUGUGCCACAGCAGUUGUGGGUGGCAGUGGGAGCAGACGUAGCUGGCAGGAAGUGACAGCAAGGAACACAAAGGAAAAAAACCUUGGGAUUUGGAAGCAAAAGGUGUGAACGGGAAGUGGGAUACUAUAGUGGUGCCUCUGAGGAGGCAGGAGCUGAUCCAGGCCUUGUUGGCUAAGUGCAUUGGAAGGGCAACUUGAGGAGGCGGCCAAGGAAAGGAAAGGGAGGCAGAGAGAAUGUGAGAAUGUUGUGUGACUGGAAAGCAAACCACAAAGGGCAAGUUUCUACUUCAUCAAAGCUGUGUCUGUUUCUUAGCUUGAUCUGCAUCAUGAUAUUCACUUGCGAGUGAUAUGCAGCAUUUUUGGUAGAAAAGAGUGGCUCAGCUGUUACUUUAAGAGCAAAACAGGGCUCACUGUAGCUAUGAGGCUGCACUGAGCUCUUCCACAACAGGUGGAAAGGGACAAAAAGGGUUAUUUAAAGGCCGCUUGCCCUGGUUGCAGUGGCAGGUGUGCUGGCAGACGCUGGGGCUCAGUGACCUUCUAGGGCUGUGCUCCCACUCCAACGGAGUGGGCUGGAUGUGACUGACAGGGCCUCUGUGCCCUCGGAACGUAACGUCUGAACUGCUGUGAGUCAUAUUCCAGCUAGAGGUGGCAGUGCAGAGGCAGCGGCCGCCAUGUCCGAGGGCCACCCCUCAGGCAGUACAGGAGAUGCCGAUGCCGGGCCAGCAGGGCCACCUCAGGCAGUGAGGCUGCUCGGGGCGGCUGCGUCUUAGGAUCGUCGGUCCCAAACACUCACGCAGACAUAUUUCCCCUCCGGGACUUCUGCCGGCCCCUCGUGACGACGUGAUCACCCCGCCACAGACGGCGUCUCCACACGGGCCAGCGGCGGCGCUAAGGAGACGCCCGCGCUUCGAGCGCGGCUCUCACGGUGAAGGUGCGCGGCCACGUGCGCUGGGUGACGGCAACGGCGGCGCGCACGCAUGCGCAUAUCGCCCUCAGCCGCUCCUCACAUGCACACCUGCG